rnacentral:rRNA from 1 species
UAGGGAAUCUUCCGCAAUGGGCGAAAGCCUGACGGAGCAACGCCGCGUGAGUGAUGAAGGUCUUCGGAUCGUAAAACUCUGUUAUUAGGGAAGAACAAAUGUGUAAGUAACUAUGCACGUCUUGACGGUACCUAAUCAGAAAGCCACGGCUAACUACGUGCCAGCAGCCGCGGUAAUAUGUAGGUGGCAAGCGUUAUCCGGAAUUAUUGGGCGUAAAGCGCGCGUAGGCGGUUUUUUAAGUCUGAUGUGAAAGCCCACGGCUCAACCGUAGAGGGUCAUUGGAAACUGCAAAACUUGAGUGCAGAAGAGGAAAGUGGAAUUCCAUGUGUAGCGGUGAAAUGCGCAGAGAUAUGGAGGAACACCAGUGGCGAAGGCGACUUUCUGGUCUGUAACUGACGCUGAUGUGCGAAGGCGUGGGGAUCAAACAGG